AUACGUAGGGGGCAAGCGUUAUCCGGAUUUACUGGGAGUAAAGGGAGCGUAGACGGAAGGCCAAGUCUGAUGUGAAAGCCCGCGGCUCAACUGCGGGACUGCAUUGGAAACUGGUCAUCUGGAGUGCAGGAGGGGGAAGCGGAAAUCCUAGUGUAGCGGUGAAAUGCGUAGAUAUUAGGAGAAACACCGGUGGCGAAGGCGGGUAACUGGACUGCAACUGACGCUGAGGCGCGAAAGUGUGGGGAGCAAACAGGAUUAGAUACCCUGGUAGUCCACACUGUAAACGAUGAAUGCUAGGUGUAAGAGGUAUCGACCCCUUUUGUGCCGGAGUCAACACAAUAAGCAUUCCACCUGGGGAGUACGGCCGCAAGGCUGAAACUCAAAGGAAUUGGCGGGG
rnacentral:rRNA from 1 species